UAGACGAGAUGAAUUACCGAAAUUAAAAGUAUUGGAAUAAGUAUAAUAAGCCGUAAGUAAUUAAGUUUUCAUAGUGAUAGUUUGUGAGGAAAAUCGAUAUGUUGUGUUCGUUGGUGUUCAGUUAGAACGUGUUUGAUGAGAAUUUAUUGUUCUGGUUAUGAAAUCGGUAUAUUUUGAGUUCGGAAUAUAAUUAAAAUAGGUUUUUCGUAAAGUGGAAAGUGAUAGCUUAGCAGUACAAAAUUUAUAAUUUUUUUUUAUUGUGAUAAAGUGAAUUUAAUUUAUUAGAUUAAAUUAAUUUAUCUUGUUGACCAUUGGAAGAAGGUAUCGUGGAGUGUAGUUAAUGGUGGUGUUUGCUAUAAUUAAUUUGGAAUGUGAUUUAUAUUUUAUUAAAAUUUAUUAUUGCAAAAUUAAUAAAUUAAUAAUAUUUUUUUAUUCAUCGUAAGACAUUAACCUAUUUUUUGUUGCCUCAUCCUGCCAGUUUGGUAUAACAAGGAGCUGUAUACAUAUGUAAUUGAUAGUAUAUUUUGAAGGUCAUCAACUGCAGUAGUUUACAUAAAAUGUACAGGAUGUAUCAAAAUAUUUGUGACUCACAUAGUCUUUGGUAUACAAAAGCAUUUUGCUUGUGCAAUCUAAAUGUAUCAUAUACUACGUCAUAGCACAGCUAAUAGAGGUAUGUGUAUGUAAGCAAUACCCUAAUUAUUGCAUUAACGCUCAGGUGUCGGUGGUAGAUUUACUAUUUUUUUUAUAUCUAAAAUCGUCGUGUCUUUUUUUUUAUAACACACGUUUGUUAUUUCUAUUUGUAUAUUGUGUUCAGUUUGAUCCUUUUUUUUCCUAAUGCUUUCUUUAGGUGUCUUAAGCUUUAGCUUGUUACUCGUACCAUGAAGCUUGCAAUGUCUGAAGUCAACAGGAGUUGAAUCGUCUGAUUAUUGGAAACUUGAAGUGAUGUUUUAAAACUGUAGAGGGCGUUAUUUGGAAGUAAAUUAUAUUACGAGAAAAUACUGGAGUAUGCAAUGUGUAAAUGAAUAUAAUCAAAGAAACGAUUAUCAUGUACGAUUUAACUAUCCAGUCAUACGUCAAGUCAUGUUUUACUAUCAAAUUUUAUUAGAUAAUUUAAAUUGAGAGAAAUGAAUGUUGAUAUCCAAGCAAUAUAUUGAAACAAUAGUAAUAGGGAUAUAGAGAUGAAUUUGAGCAAUUCGAUUGCAAUUUAAUUGAAAGAUUUACCUCGGAAAAUUAUUCAAAAAAUGUAAGUUUUUAGAAACAAUUAUUUCCCAUCAAUUUGUUGCACAUUUAACAGGUUUUUGUGCUUGUUAUUUGUGCCUUAAUUAAUAUGUAAUUAAGUUUCAGAUCUACUUUUUCCUAUACGCUUUGAUCGCAGUUUAUGUUCAAUGGGUACACAGUACGAUAGAUGCUAACAGAGUUAUAAAGGGUGUGUGUGAAAUUCACCAUAAUUUAAUCGAUUUCAUUUGAUAUUGCUAAUCAUAUUCUACUAACAUACGAAGGGAUUCAUCACUGUUAUAAAUGCUGUAUUAAUAUUUAAAACUAUACAACGAAACAACAAUCCUAGGUAUGUUAAUUUAAUAUUUACAAUAAUAUUUAGGUAGUGUAUUAUUUUUAUCUAUUAAUAGUUAUUCUAUAUGUCUAGUUUUAAGAUUAUGCCCAGACCUAGACCACAAGAAAUAGGUAGGAUAUUCAUAUUUAUUGCGCAUACUACCAAUUUGUAAUUUUGCCAAUGGUGGCCUUUUUUAGAAUUUAAACAGGACACGAAUAAGAUCAUAAUAAACAUGCUAUUUUUUCUUAAUACGGACCAUAGACAAGAACUCUAGUCAGCGACAAAUAAAUUGCAGUAAACGUCAGAUAAAACCGGGCGAUGACCUAAGUGUAGAGGAAUAAUUCAUGAAAAAUAAGCGUUAGAUUUUUACGCUUAGUAGGGCGCGUCAUUUCAAGAAGAGUAAACGGAUUGAUGAAAAGUUUGUAAAAA